GACUCGUGGCAGAUGGUCUGCACUGGCUCUCAACAUGCUUGUAUUGAUGAUACAAGCAGGUCCCUGGUUCGAUUCCGGGUUGAGUCG